UCCCCCAGACUAAAACGGGGCCCUUCGUCCAAAACUGAAAGGGGAUCACUACUUUCCCUUUUGUCGAUUAGGGGGGGUAAGCCCCCCCCCCCCCCCCCGCCGAAAAAAAGGGCGCUUUUUCUCCCCCCCAGGGCCGGGGUGGGAGGGGCCUAGGGGGGCUUCCCCCAGCUGAGAAAGUCUCCUUCCCCCCCCCCCCCUCCUGGCUGCUGAAGCCCCCAGCCCCUCUUUUCCUGCCACAAGCCACAGAGGCCAUUCGUUCCCGCAAGGGCCGUCUCCCUCGGCUCCCGCCCACUUUUAUGAAACCCAUAAAAAAAAUCCCUAACCGAGCCGGUGCGGAGCCUGCCUCUUCCCGCCCUUGGUUUCCCAGGCUCCAGGAGCUGGGAAGGGGGAAGAGAGGAGGUGCCCACCCCGCUAGGGGAGCCCAGCCCCCACCCGUUGGGGGCUCAUGGUGCCGGUCCCUGAAACAGCCCAGGCUUUCUCAGGUCCCGGCCCCAGCCCCUCCCCCCGUGUCAUCCACACCCCCAGCAGCUCCCCAACUCCCUCCAAGACCCCAGCCCCCAGCCCUGCUCAGGUCACUGCCUUGUCCUGAUCCGCCCCACCCGGCCCCCUGCAGGGCUGUGGGUGACGGGCAGGGUGCAGGGCUCUGUGCCAGGUCCAAGGGAGGGGAGUGGGCUUGCUGCCGCUCUACCCCCAUCUCCCCAGUCCCUACCCACUGCCACACACACACACACACACACACACACAGGGCGGGCCUCACAGCGGGGUGCUGGCCGACGGCUGCCCUGCCUCUGGAGGGCCUGGAAGCUGCACCAGAGCUGGCUGGGGAGACGGAGUACCACACACCGUGUCCACACCCAGAAACACUCAGAGAUGCACACGUGAGAAACGCGUGGAUUUCAGGUUUUUGCGCCAAAGUCACCGUGUGUUAAUUCCUCUCCCGUGACCUCUCUGAAGCAUGGUUGCUCUGGACCUGGGGGAGAAGCCGGACGCCUGCGUUUCAGUGAGGCUUGGUGCCCUCCCCGGGCGGUGCCUCCCUCCAUCCGUUUCAUGCCGCCCCAACCCUGCCGGAGAAACACAGGGCAGCGCGGGGAGGGGCCAGAGCCCCCUGGGCUGCCUGAGGGAAAAGUGCAGGCCACGCUCACGGCCACCGCCAUGUCCUGCUGGGAGCACACGCCACGGCCACGCCCAGGCCGACAGAGCGCCUGGUGUCCUCGAAGCACCACGCAGAGAAACCUCACACACAGCACACAAACAGAGCACACGCGGGGAACACGACUCACGCACCACACACUGCUCAAUGCCACAUGCACACGUGUGAUGCACAUGACACACACAGCACACACCAUGAACACCACACUCAUACUUGACGUACAUGGCACACAAACCUGCCACACACAUGCCAUACACACAUUACACAUGCACACCACACACCACAACACGCGUUAAACAUGCGUUCCAUGCCUGUCACACAUACACACACAUUAAUCGCAUACACAGCACACAGACACAUGCAUGAGAGUGUGUCAAAAGUUCAUGGAAGAAAACGGGAUUGAAAGAUAAGUUGAUUUUGGUGCAAAAUUUUUGAAAUGUGCACUUAAGAGUGGUUUUCAGAAGUUCAUGAAAAUCAUGGGUGGAUUUCAAAAUUCUGUUUCAUCAAGAUGAAUUUGCCUUUCAUUUCGCUCUCAAGGUCUUCUCGAAGUGCCCCACAUGCACGUGCACAUGUCUGUUUUCCCGUGGCACAGCCGAACCACUGUUUGCGAAUGGGCAUGUGGCUGCCCUGUGCACUGCACGGACACGAAGCGUGCCCGGGAUCCGGGACACCCGCAGCGGAGAGCGGCCAGCGGCCACGGGGCAGCGUGGCCCGGCGGCUCCCAGUGAAGGUGCAAGGAAGUCCAGGCUCCGGGUUAGCACUCUGCUUCCUGGAAGCCC
ensembl:lncRNA